rnacentral:rRNA from 1 species
CCUACGGGAGACAGCAGUGGGGGAUAUUGCACAAUGGGGGAAACCCUGAUGCAGCGACGCCGCGUGAGUGAAGAAGUAUUUCGGUAUGUAAAGCUCUAUCAGCAGGGAAGAAAAUGACGGUACCUGAACAAUAAGCCCCGUCUAACUACGUGCCAGAAGCCGCGGGAAUACGUAGGGGACAAGCGUUAUCCGGAUUUACUGGUUGUAAAGGGAGCGUAGACGGGUAUGUAAGUCUGGAGUGAAAGCCCAGGGCCCAACCCCGGGACUGCUUUGGAAACUGUUUAACUGGAGUGCAGGAGGGGCAUGCGGAAUUCCUAGUGUAGCGGUGAAAUGCGUAGAUAUCAGGAGGAACACCGGCGGCGAAGGCGGCCUGCUGGACUGAAACUGACGUUGAGGCUCGAAAGCGUGGGGAGCAAACAGGAUUAGAUACCCUUGUAGUC